rnacentral:rRNA from 1 species
UACAGAGGUGGCAAGCGUUGUUCGGAAUUACUGGGCGUAAAGAGCGCGCAGGCGGUCGUGCAAGUCGGGUGUGAAAGCCCCCGGCUCAACUGGGGAGGGUCAUUCGAUACUGAUCGACUCGAAGGCAGGAGAGGGAAGUGGAAUUCCCGGUGUAGUGGUGAAAUGCGUAGAUAUCGGGAGGAACACCAGUGGCGAAGGCGACUUCCUGGCCUGUUCUUGACGCUGAGGCGCGAAAGCUAGGGGAGCAAACGGG